AACGAACGCUGGCGGCGUGCCUAACACAUGCAAGUCGUGCGAGAAAGUUCCUUCGGGAGCGAGUAAAGCGGCGCACGGGUGAGUAACACGUAGGUAACCUGCCCCCCAGUCUGGAACAACUAGAGGAAACUACUAGCUAAUGCCGGAUGAGACCACGAUCCCUUCGGGGGUUGGCGGCCAAAGAUGGCCUCUACUUGUAAGCUAUCGCUGAGGGAUGGGCCGUGCGGGCCAUUAGCUUGUUGGUGAGGUAACGGCUCACCAAGGCUGUGAUGGCUAGCUGGUCUGAGAGGAUGACCAGCCACACUGGGACUGAGACACGGCCCAGACUCCUACGGGAGGCAGCAGUGGGGAAUAUUGCGCAAUGGGCGAAAGCCUGACGCAGCGACGCCGCGUGGGU
rnacentral:rRNA from 1 species